CAAUUCCAAUAGGAUACGCUCCAACGCUGCUCCUGAUGCAACGCAGUCUAAGUAGAAUCGUAAUAAGACGUCAAUGUAUUACAACAAUGGGACAAUAUUUCGGAUAUUUUAAUCAUAGGUACUUACGAAAAAAGUGUUAUGAAGCAAAUUUGAUCUUUAUUUUUAGUCGUUAUAGUACAAUUUCACUUUGUCUGCCGGCUUAGAUAAGCGUACUACUUAUAUUAUGUUAUCUGAAUUCGGUUAGAAUGGCAAUCGUCAUAAAAUUGGAGGAAAAAAAAAAGAGUGAGUAUUAAAUACUGUUGCCUAUAUUUAUUUAAUAUUUAUGUGUAUUUAUGGACCUAUCUAAGACCGUUCCAAAUUUUUUUUAUCUAAUAGAGUCAGAUUGAAAUUGACAGGAAUGGACUGCAUUGUAAGAUACACUUGAUACAGGAAGU